rnacentral:rRNA from 1 species
UACACGUAGAGCAUACGCAGGUGAAUGAGCAAAUGAUGUUGAAGGAACUCGGCAAAUUGAUCCCGUAACUUCGGAAGAAGGGAUGCCUUUCUUUGGGCAACCAGAGAGAGGUUGCACGGGCCAGGGGGUAGCGACUGUUUAUCAAAAACACAGGUCUCUGCAAAGUCGUAAGACGAAGUAUAGGGGCUGACGCCUGCCCGGUGCUGGAAGGUUAAGAGGAGAUCUGCAAGCAUUGAAUUGAAGCCCCAGUAAACGGCGGCCGUAAAAUAACGGUCCUAAGGUAGCGAAAUUCCUUGUCGGGUAAGUUCCGACCCGCACGAAUGGCGUAACGACUUCCCCACUGUCUCCAACAUCACCUCAGUGAAAUUGAAUUCUCCGUGAAGAUGCGGAGUUCCCGCGGUUAGACGAAAAGACCCCGUGCACCUUUACUAUAGCUUUGCAUUGGUAUUAGGACACAAAUGUGUAGGAUAGGUGGGAGCCUAUGAAGCGUUGGCGCUAGUUGACGUGGAGGCAUCCUUGAAAUACCACCCUUUUGUGUUUUGAUAUCUAACUGAGGUCCAUUAUCUGGAUCCAGGACCAUGCAUGGUGGGUAGUUUGACUGGGCGGUCGCCUCCCAAAGAGUAACGGAGGCGCGCGAAGGUAGGCUCAAGCUGGUCGGAAAUCAGCUGUAGAGUGCAAUGGCAUAAGCCUGCUUAACUGCAAGACUGACAAGUCGAGCAGAGACGAAAGUCGGUCAUAGUGAUCUGGUGAUUCUGCGUGGAAGGGUCAUCACUCAACGAAUAAAAGGUACGCCGGGGAUAACAGGCUGAUCUCCCCCAAGAGUUCACAUCGACGGGGAGGUUUGGCACCUCGAUGUCGACUCAUCACAUCCUGGGGCUGAAGAAGGUCCCAAGGGUUUGGCUGUUCGCCAAUUAAAGUGGUACGUGAGUUGGGUUCAGAACGUCGUGAGACAGUUCGGUUUCUAUCUGCCGCGGGUGUUGAAGAAUUGAAAGGAGCUGCCCCUAGUACGAGAGGACCGGGGUGGACGUACCACUGGUGUACCAGUUGUUCUGCCAAGAGCACUGCUGGGUAGCUAUGUACGGAAGAGAUAACCGCUGAAAGCAUCUAAGCGGGAAGCUCCCCUUGAAACUAAUUCUUCCUAUGAGAGCCGUCAAAGAACAUGACGUUGAUAGGUCAGAUGUGGAAGCAUGGUAACAUGUGCAGCUAACUGAUACUAAUCGCUUC